UUUACCCUGGCUUUUAGCCUGGGUGGCUACGAGAGCCUGGCAGAGCAUCCGGCCAUCAUGACCCACGCCUCAGUGCCUGAGAAGGAAAGGAAAGCUCUGGGAAUCACUGACACCUUGAUCCGCCUCUCGGUGGGGCUGGAGGAUGAGGAGGAUUUGAUCAAAGACCUGGACCAGGCCCUGGAGGCUGCGUUUAAAUAAACCUUGGGGGUCAAAAAGGAACUUGGAACUGGACAUGGCUGUGGACAAGGACACGGAAAACCAAACCUCUCUUGCUUUG